CAAAGUUGAGCCACCACAUCCCCAUUCUCCUCAUCCCCUUCAUUAUUCCCAGCCGCGGGAAACGCAGCAAUAUCCUUUCCACCAGCAGUAUCAAUGCCGAUGCUAAGCGCAGGGGCGUUCUUGAUUCGUCUAUUGGCUUCUGUCUCAAAAAGCUAAAAUCGGAAAUUAGCUAGAAGCAAAAAAAGCAAAUGAAGAUACCGACAGUAUUAUAAGAGUGAUCCAAGAAAUCCUCCAUGUUAUAUUCAGCCUUUGUGAAAGGCUCGCCAAACACUUUUGCAAGGGUGCUGACCGAAGACAGGUAAUGGUGCUGCAACGCUGCAAUCUCCCACAAACUUGACUCGAGCGCUUGCGUUUUGAGCGGAUCCUUCUCCUCCGGGUCAAAGGGGUCGACAUCCUUAGGAUUCAUUGUCGUGGUCGUAGGGGUAAAUGAAGAUACCGCAAGCAAAGGAUCUUCAGAAGAUUUACGCUGGAGCAAGACCAUGCACCCUGGGUGUUUCUUGAAGAGGUUGUAUAUGAAGGGAAGGACCAUUACGAUACCUUGUGGGGGAGCGGUAAGACAUAGGAGAGAGAGACGUUUGAUGAAUGAGGCGAUAAUGGUGCUAGGCAUGAGAGAUGAGGAGAGGAAAAUGUUAAUGCUCUUAGGAAUGGAAGGUUACUUACAAGUUAUACUCUGUCAUUAAGACGAACAACCCGUUCAUCGCCAACAUCGCCAUUGGGCCACCACCAUCAACCAAGCUACCCAGCCAAUCGGCAAUUCUCAACCUCCUCUCCUUUUUAAAAUGCGCCAAUAUACCCUGUUCACCAUGGAGACCCACAAGAAUUUUUCUCGUCCACACUUCGUCAAGAGGGACUGAAGAGAGUAUGAAUUCCCAUAGUGAGGUGUAGACGGUUGUCUGGGAGGGGAUAGAGUAGAUGGAAGCAUGGAUAGAGAGUUGAGAUGUACGGGUGCGCUUGCGUUUGCCAGAUUGGACCUCUGAAUCGGAUUCAGAGUCGGAUGAUUCGUACGCUUUCAUCCACUCAGGCAAAGCGUCGAGUUCGGCUUUUGUCUUUCCCUUCUUGGCUCGUGCCGAUCGACUCUUCUUCAUGGUGGUCACAGAGUUAGGAUCGGAGGGGGGAGAGGAGAAGGUGGGGAGGUAGAAGGUGUUGAUAUCGGCAGGAACUUUGGGGAGGUUUGUGAGAGGAAGAGUAAGGGUGAGAAGGUUAUCAGAAUGAGGGGUAGUGAGUGGUGUUUGAGUCGAUUG
rnacentral:sRNA from 1 species